rnacentral:lncRNA from 1 species
UUUUAUGGUCCAAAAUCUAAGAUGCAACCAUCAUGUAUCAAAUUUUAUUAAUCCCAUAGGAGGUAUGUUAAAAUAUAUGAAUUUUUAAAGCAAGGUAGCAAGAAUCAACAUCAAAAAUAUGAUUAUGCAAAUCAACUACAAGUCUGACUGAAUAUCCUAACCACACAUAUACACACAUUUAUUUUUCCUUAA